rnacentral:tRNA from 1 species
AAGACUAUAGUCAAUAUAAUGACGUAUGAGUUGCAUUCAUAAAGAGUUUCUUUAAACUAGUUUUA